rnacentral:tRNA from 1 species
GCUAAGGUGGCAGAGCCCGGUAAUUGCAAAAGGCCUAAGCCCUUUCUGUCGGAGGUUCAAAUCCUCUCCUUCAGCU